GUGGGCGGGGGUAAUGAGGAGCAACGGGGAGGGUUGCUGGAAGCGCCCAAUUCACUAGAAGAGUCAGCAAACUACUCCCCUCACCGCUUCCCGAUCCCUCAUUGCUCUGGAGGAGUUGGGCCCCCUUGCUGGGAAUCCGGGGCAUCUUUCCCAAAAGUCGGGAACUGCACCUGGCUGCCCAGUCCUAUAGCUCUGCUACCCUGAGCCUAUUAGCUGUCCACCGCACCUCAACCUUUACAGCCACAGUGAUACCAGCCACCACUUAUUAAGUACCUAUGGCAAUUAUUUUUUAUGUCCUGUUCUAAGUAAUUCUCAUAGCAGCUUUAUGAUGAGGUAUUAUUGCUUCCGUUUUUUGUAAGAGAAACCAGGGACAGAAGGGUCAUGUUUAAUAAGAUCAUGCCGCUUUCAUUGAUCCAAUUAAUGAGUCCAGCUCAGAGGGGACAUGUAACAUACAUGUUAAACAUACACACACAUACCUGUUACACUGCAGGCGUUCAGUGCAUUAAGUGACUUCACUGGGAAUCUGUCUUGAGUUUAGUUAGCACGAAGUCAAAACCUGUUUUCAGGUGUGGCCUCAAAACGGGCUGAUACACAGUGGCUCAUUUCUGGAGCUUUCAAUUACCAAUUAUUCCUCACAUCUCCCUAUGUGCCAGGAACCAUUCUGGGCCUGAAUGGCAUUGGUACAGGGUCUGUGUCCAGAGGUUGGAAUGGUUGCCUCACUGUUUAAGAUUCAGGAUCAGCCCCUCCAAGUCCUCUUCCUACUGGGGACCUUAAGGUUUCAGUGAGAGGGUGGUGGAGCAGGGUUAAGGGUGCCCCUGAGGGUCACUGGCAAAUAGCCUUGCAAGUAGCUACAGGCCCAGGAGCCAUUCCAGCCUUGAGCCUGUGGGCUUGUGGGAAGGAAUACUGCUCUCAUUUUUCUUUGGCUUCUUUAACAUCCUGGGAGUGGGAGGGGAGGAAAGGAAGAAGGUGAGUUCAGCCAGCAGCCAAGGGAGCUGUUUGCACCUCCCACCACUCUCUCCCUCCCCAGACAUGAUGGAGUCCUGUCUUGACUUGGCCAAACAGGGGAACAGAGACUUGCUUGAGAGAAAGGGGCGGGAUGGAAGACAAGUCCACAGAACUUGCUUUUCCCAGAUGUCUCAGUGCACCCAAGUGGCUUCCUUCCUCCAAAUCCUAAAUAAUCCAGCCUAGAGCCCUGGAGAGGAACUUCCCAAUGGGGAGGGAAGCAGAAGUAAUCUCCUGGGGGUAGUGAUUUGUGGGGAAGGAUGCUUACUCACCCCAGCCCUCUCCUGGCAAAAAGAAGUGUGGGACAGAGUGACCUCCACAGAAAUCUGCCUCCUGAUGACAGUCUUGUGAAAAACUCCCACCUUGGACACCCUCCCCUCCCAUCCCCAUCAGACCCCAGGCCCUUCUCCUCCAUCAAAUCUGUUCCACCCCAUGAGGCAGAUGUGGUAGGACUAGGGAUAGUCUGAGUUGGGACCACCGUCCUUCUUUCUUUUCAAAGCUUACCCAUCCUAUUAGAAGGGCCCUGGGAAUUUGGGCAGCAAAAUGAGAGUGCUGGUCCCACAUGCCCUUGCUCUCUGCCCCAUCUCCCCUUCUCCUCCGAGAUCAUCGGAUUUCCUGAAGAUUCCAAAUCUUUUGUCCGGCUCCACCACACAGCAAAACGUGUCACACCCCUGCAGAAACCUUCCGGUAGUUUCCAAUCAUUCUUGGAAGAAAAUCCAAACUGUUCCCUUUGUCUAAAAUGCCCUUCUCUCAGAUCUUGGCACGGUGGGCUCCUUGCCAGUCUGGAUUCUGUACAAAUGUCACCACGUCUUCAGGAACCCUUUCCCUGACAACCUAGAGAUCAGGAGAGACCCACCGUUUGGCCAUCUUCUGCCUUUCACCAUGCUUUAUCUUUACCUAGUACUUAACAGUAUCUGAAAUUAUAUUUAUUUACCAGUGUACUUGCGAGGCAGCUGUGAAAUGCAUGGGAAGUGGUUUAAACUAACACUUCCUGGAUGUGUAACCUUGGGUGAAUCUGUUAACCUCUCUGAGCCUUGGUUUCCUCAUCUGUAAAAUGGGGAAAGCAGUUGUACCUGUAUCACAGGGUUGUCAUGAAGAUCCAGGAAGUGAUGCUCAGCACAGUAUAAGGACUCAAUAAAUGUAGGCUGUUAUUAUUAUAACAGUUAAGAGUGACAGUGUACGGUUACUAUCCCCAUGGCCCAAAACUGUACUGAAUGAAACAGAAAGUAAGCCUUCACCUAUUAUGUGGGAAGCACACUCCCACCAGCUGUCUUGUGGGCGCCAUGCCAUUUUGGAAAUGACCAAGAAUGCCAUGUGCAGCGAGUACCAGGAAGAGCACUUGACAGAGAGUCAAAAGCCAUUGGUUCUGGACUCAGUGUUGCUACCACUUCACCGCAGGACGUGGGCUGGUCACCUUUCUUCACUGGGCCUCAGGCUCUUCCAAGAAAAUAAUGAAUUGAAGCAACUGAUUGCUGUGCUCCCUGCCAGCUUCCAGGGGUUCUGCUUUGAGUCCUGUGCUCUCUUUAUCCACCACAUAGCCUUCAGGGUUGGGGAGAUACAUGGUGCCUUCAACUUCCCUCAACCUUGUUUCCUAACAGGCCAAAGCUGCCGCGAAGAGAGUUGAACCCAGGGAAAACAUUCUUGGUUUAAACCUUUGAACCCAGAGACAAAAGUCUCAGCCCUGGACACCAGAUCUUCUUUUCACCCACGUCACUCUCCCUGCUUCACCCUCAUCCGCUGUCAUAUCUGAGCCCUGAGGAGGGAGAGCCAGCCCUCACUUCCCCUACAGGCACGAAGGCUUUGGCCUCAGUUAUUCUCAGACAUGCAGACAGGGUGUGUGUGUAGCUGCAUGUACACAGAUGUGUGUGCCUGUAUGUACUUGCGGGUAUCUGUAGCUAUAUUUUCACUUGUUUCCAUUUUUCCCUCAGGAGCGGCAAGACUGAGAUUAACUGAAGGAAAAGAUUGUACAUCCCAGGGCUGAAAAUGCUGUCUGCCCCUUGCUGGAGCUGCCUAUCUGCCCCGUGGGGUCAUUCUGGGGUGCUGGGAAUGGCCUAAGGAGAGACAAAGAGAAACAGAGUGUGAGUGGGGGAGGGGCAGAGAGAGAGAGGGAGACAGAAUCCAAAGCAGGCUCCAGGCUCUGAGCUGUCAGCACAGAGCCCGACACAGGGCUCCAACUCAUGGACUGAGAAAUCAUGACCUGAACUGAAGUUGGACGCUUAACUGAGCCACCCAGGAACCCCUCUUGUCUUUUUGGUGGCAGACAUUCUAACAGGCUUCACGGAGUGCCGGGGUUGACUUCUAGAGACAAGCAAAACCCUCAGGGGGCAGAUAAUUAGCAGUGCACAAGAGAUACAGCCAACUCAGAAAAACCCAUCCUUCCUGGCUGUGUGACCUUGAGCAACAGGUGCAUCUGCCAUCCUACACCGGAUUUGGCUUUCUACAGGACCAUGGAGGUCUUCAUAGAGCCUGGCCCAAGGGAUCUACUCUCUUCUGAUGGACAGUGCUCUGUGACAUGACCUGAUGCUGCUCCUCAGUGGGACCUGUACCUGUUAACAAGUACAUGCUUACAUGUGUGUGUGUUGGGGGUCACCUCAUCGGCCAAAGCAUAACUACCCCUUGCAGGGUUUUCUCUUUUGCCAAGAAGCAGUGGAUCUCCAGCAUCCAUCCUCAGACCUGCCACUUUUAAGUUGCAUCAGGAUACUCACUGCUUCCUGCGGUGCCUGUGCCUCCAAUACACCACCUGUCUGUCUCCCGCGUCCCACUCUUCCUCCUCCUGUCUUUACCUGUUUCCCUUGGUAACUCUCUGGAGCCUGGGGAAGCCUUCUCAGGACAAGAUGGUCCUUCAUGACCAGAUCCUUCUCACCAAGGGGCCUCCAAUCUCAGCCCUCCAAGGGAUCGGGAUGCUGCCAAGGCUGAUAGCAGACAGCCCAAUGUGGGGCCGAAUUCAUGAACCGGGAGAUCACGACCUGAGACGAAGUUGGUCACUUAACCAACCGAGCCCCCCAGGCACCUCCGUAAUUUAACUAUUUACCUGGUGAAGGACAUUUGGGUUGUUUCAAGUUCUUGGCUAUUAUGAAUAAAGCUGCUAUAACCAUGUAUAUGAGUUUUGAAGUGCUCAGGGCUAUGGAAUUAGCUACCACAUUCUGGGGGCCAUGGGUGCUUACUGGGUCCAUCAUUGUUUCUAACGGCUUUUCAGUGGACAGAACUAGGAUACGCUUUUCGAUUUAAACUACAAUAUACCAGGGGUUCAUAAGAUACUUCCUAAAUUCAAUAUGGCAGAGAAUUUGCAUGACAUCAUUGAUUUUACAUAUGUAUCUCUUUUCUACUAGGUGAAAAUUCCAGUUCUG